AGCAGCCUGAGGCAGGGGAAAGGGCACACACCACUCCAAAGGCUACCAUGCACUGAGCAUGCAUGCACCUGAAGUGGAAAAGGACACAUGCAACAUAGCACAAAGAACAACAGCUGCAGAACAGCUUCAUGGAUGUCCCAGAGAAAGGUGUGAGAGACAGACAGAUGAUCUACACAGGAGUGGACUGGCUAACAAAACGGAGGUCCAUCCAUGAAAGGGAAGAGCAGGGAGGAUUUAUUCCUGGAGUUGCACAGAGAAAUGAAUAAGGAUUUGGACUGAAGGUAUCACAUUUCUGUCAAUGCAAUUAUCUAAACUACUGUAUAGUAGGUGUU
rnacentral:lncRNA from 1 species